UUGUCUCAAAGAUUAAGCCAUGCAUGUCUCAGUACGAGCCACAUUAAGGUGAAACCGCGAAAGGCUCAUUAAAUCAGUUAUGGUUCCUUAGAUCGUACCCACAUUUACUUGGAUAACUGUGGUAAUUCUAGAGCUAAUACAUGCAGAUAGAGCUCCGACCGGAGACGGAAGGAGUGCUUUUAUUAGAACAAAACCAAUCGGCGGCGGGUGCGCUCGCGUGCUCGUUCGCCGCUCUACCUGGUGAAUCUGAAUAACUUUCAGCUGAUCGCACGGUCUCGCACCGGCGACGCAUCUUUCAAAUGUCUGCCUUAUCAACUGUCGAUGGUAGGUUCUGCGCCUACCAUGGUCGUAACGGGUAACGGGGAAUCAGGGUUCGAUUCCGGAGAGGGAGCCUGAGAAACGGCUACCACAUCCAAGGAAGGCAGCAGGCGCGCAAAUUACCCACUCCCGGCACGGGGAGGUAGUGACGAAAAAUAACGAUACGGGACUCAUCCGAGGCCCCGUAAUCGGAAUGAGUACACUUUAAAUCCUUUAACGAGGACCCAUUGGAGGGCAAGUCUGGUGCCAGCAGCCGCGGUAAUUCCAGCUCCAAUAGCGUA
rnacentral:rRNA from 1 species